CCGAGGGAGUGUGUCAUGUCCAUUGUAGCAGCCUGUAGUAGGGUGUCCCGAUAAUAUAUUACGCCGCCGGGUUUUUUUUUUUUUUUUUUUAAUUAAAAAUAAAAGGUUUUAUUUUAAGAAUUCGUAGGUUUUAGGAGAAAGAGCAAAAUUUCUGGAUCCUUGUUUUAACACAAAUCAUGUUCGGCGGUUUUUGUACGCUUCUUCAGCCACGGUUGUUUUUUAUGAUCCACACUCCAGGGAUGAGGAAACAAACUCAGACAUCUGCAGCACAACACAACUGAGUUCACGACCCAGUCCUGGGACUCAUCCAUACACCGUCUCCCUUUGCUGGAGUAUAAGCUCCAAUAAAUCCUCGUUUGGAUGGAAUUGCUUGUCGCUUCAUGAUUUCUAUCUCAAAUUGAGCAAAACAACCCAAUACUGAGCUGGU